ensembl:lncRNA
AGAUUAUCAAGUGCUCCCUCCACUUGGAAUCUCUGCUCUAUCAUCCUUGUCUCCCAGGCAGCAAAGCUCCCAUGCCACCUCUUCCAGGAAGACUUCACGGAUCUCAGCUGUUUCACGUCCUCAUGGCAUUUGCACAUCUCUCUGGCACGGCUUCCCAUAUCCUGUACUUGGUUCAUGGCUAUUUCUACAUGGCAUGUGAAAGCCUGACCAGGGAUCGAACCCAUGCCCCCAGCAUUGGAAGGCAAGAUCUUAACCACUGCACCACCAGGUGGGUUAAGUAUACAAUGUGGAUAUGCUGAUCAGAAGAAUGAGUCACUCACUUCCUAGCCAAGACAGAGUGGGACCAACUGUGGGGCGAUGAGCGAUUUCAGCAUGCUACUCAUGAACGUUUGCUUCUGGAAGUUUUCAUUUAAUAUUUUUGCACUGCAGUUGACCUCAGGUGGCUUAGACAGUAAAGAAUCCACCUGCAAAUUCAGGAGACCUGGUUUCGAUCCCUGGGUUGGGAAGAUUCCCUGGAAGAGGGCAUGGCAACCCACUCCAGUAUUUUUGCCUGGAGAAUCCCCAUGGACAGAGGAGCCUGGCGGGCUACAGUCCACAGGGUCGCAAAGAGUCUGAGGAC